CUACGGGAGGCUCCAGUGGGGAAUAUUGCACAAUGGGCGAAAGCCUGAUGCAGCAACGCCGCGUGAGUGAUGAAGGCCUUCGGGUCGUAAAACUCUGUCCUCAAGGAAGAUAAUGACGGUACUUGAGGAGGAAGCCCCGGCUAACUACGUGCCAGCAGCCGCGGUAAUACGUAGGGGGCUAGCGUUAUCCGGAUUUACUGGGCGUAAAGGGUGCGUAGGUGGUUUCUUAAGUCAGGAGUGAAAGGCUACGGCUUAACCGUAGUAAGCUCUUGAAACUGGGAAACUUGAGUGCAGGAGAGGAAAGUGGAAUUCCUAGUGUAGCGGUGAAAUGCGUAGAUAUUAGGAGGAACACCAGUAGCGAAGGCGGCUUUCUGGACUGUAACUGACACUGAGGCACGAAAGCGUGGGGAGCAAACAGGAUUAGAUACCCCUGUAGUC
rnacentral:rRNA from 1 species